rnacentral:rRNA from 1 species
GAUGAACGCUGGCGGCGUGCUUAACACAUGCAAGUCGAACGGAAAGGCUCCUGCUUGCAGGGGUACUCGAGUGGCGAACGGGUGAGUAACACGUGGGUGAUCUGCCCUGCACUUCGGGAUAAGCCUGGGAAACUGGGGCUAAUACCGGAUAGGACGAUGGUUUGGAUGCCAUUGUGGAAAGUUUUUCGGUGUGGGAUGAGCUCGCGGCCUAUCAGCUUGUUGGUGGGGUAAUGGCCUACCAAGGCGUCGACGGGUAGCCGGCCUGAGAGGGUGGACGGCGACAUUGGGACUGAGAUACGGCCCAGACUCCGACGGGAGGCAGAAGUGGGGAAUAUUGCACAAUGGGCGCAAGCCUGAUGCAGCGACGCCGCGGGGGGGAUGACGGCCUUCGGGUUGUAAACUCCUUUCGCUAGGGACGAAGCGUUUUGUGACGGUACCUGGAGAAGAAGCACCGGCUAACUACGUG